CGUACGGGUGAGUAACACGUGGAUGAUCUACCCUGGAGUGGGGAAUAACGCUGGGAAACCGGCGCUAAUACCGCAUAAUCCCGAGAGGGCAAAGGAGCUUGUGAAAACAAGGCUUCGCUUCAGGAGGAGUCCGCGGCCGAUUAGCUAGUUGGCAGGGUAAAAGCCUACCAAGGCAACGAUCGGUAGCCGGCCUGAGAGGGCACACGGCCACACUGGCACUGAAACACGGGCCAG
rnacentral:rRNA from 1 species